rnacentral:rRNA from 1 species
UACGAAGGGAGCUAGCGUUGUUCGGAAUUACUGGGCGUAAAGAGCGCGUAGGCGGUUUAUCAAGUUGGGAGUGAAAGCCCAGGGCUUAACCCUGGAACUGCUUUCAAAACUGGUAAACUAGAGUGUGGUAGAGGAUGGUGGAAUUCCUAGUGUAGAGGUGAAAUUCGUAGAUAUUAGGAGGAACACCGGUGGCGAAGGCGACCAUCUGGGCCACUACUGACGCUGAGGCGCGAAAGCGUGGGGAGCAAACAGG